AGCCUGAUGCAGCCAUGCCGCGUGUAUGAAGAAGGCCUUCGGGUUGUAAAGUACUUUCAGCAGUGAGGAAGGUGGUGUCGUUAAUAGCGGCAUCAUUUGACGUUAGCUGCAGAAGAAGCACCGGCUAACUCCGUGCCAGCAGCCGCGGUAAUACGGAGGGUGCGAGCGUUAAUCGGAAUUACUGGGCGUAAAGCGCAUGCAGGUGGUUUGUUAAGUCAGAUGUGAAAGCCCGGGGCUCAACCUCGGAAUUGCAUUUGAAACUGGCAGACUAGAGUACUGUAGAGGGGGGUAGAAUUUCAGGUGUAGCGGUGAAAUGCGUAGAGAUCUGAAGGAAUACCGGUGGCGAAGGCGGCCCCCUGGACAGAUACUGACACUCAGAUGCGAAAGCGUGGGGAGCAAACAGGAUUAGAUACCCUGGUAGUCCACGCCGUAAACGAUGUCUACUUGGAGUUGUGGCCUUGAGCCGUGGCUUUCGGAGCUAACGCGUUAAGUAGACCGCCUGGG
rnacentral:rRNA from 1 species